UACGGGGGGGGCAAGCGUUGUUCGGAAUUACUGGGCGUAAAGGGCGCGUAGGCGGUGCUCUAAGUCGGAUGUGAAAUCCCCGGGCUCAACCCGGGAACUGCGUCCGAUACUGGAAGGCUUGAAUCCGGGAGAGGGAUGCGGAAUUCCAGGUGUAGCGGUGAAAUGCGUAGAUAUCUGGAGGAACACCGGUGGCGAAGGCGGCAUCCUGGACCGGUAUUGACGCUGAGGCGCGAAAGCCAGGGGAGCAAACGGG
rnacentral:rRNA from 1 species